UACAGAGGGUGCAAGCGUUGUUCGGAAUUAUUGGGCGUAAAGCGCGUGUAGGCGGCUUUGCAAGUCGGGUGUGAAAGCCCUCAGCUCAACUGAGGAAGUGCGCCCGAAACUGCAGAGCUUGAGUGCCGGAGAGGGUGGCGGAAUUCCCCAAGUAGAGGUGAAAUUCGUAGAUAUCGGGAGGAACACCAGUGGCGAAGGCGACUACCUGGCCUGUUCUUGACGCUGAGGCGCGAAAGCUAGGGGAGCAAACGGG
rnacentral:rRNA from 1 species